UUUCCGUAGGUGAACCUGCGGAAGGAUCAUUCAUAAUAAGUGUUUUACUGCACUUUUUAAAAAUAGUACUCACCUUGUGUGCAUGUUGUGUUUCUUUUCGGAGAAACACCUACACCAACCUAUAACCUUGAACCACUUUGUCUGAAAAACUAUUAUGAAUACUUAAUUCAAAAUACAACUUUCAACAACGGAUCUCUUGGCUCUCGCAUCGAGAAGAACGCAGC
rnacentral:misc_RNA from 1 species